UACGUAGGUGACAAGCGUUGUCCGGAUUUACUGGGCGUAAAGAGCGCGCAGGCGGUCGAUCAAGUCGAGUGUGAAAGCCCCCGGCUCAACUGGGGAGGGUCAUUCGAUACUGAUCGACUCGAAGGCAGGAGAGGGUAGUGGAAUUCCCGGUGUAGUGGUGAAAUGCGUAGAUAUCGGGAGGAACACCAGUGGCGAAGGCGGCGACCUGGGCCAAUACUGACGCUGAGGUGCGAAAGCGUGGGGAGCAAACAGG
rnacentral:rRNA from 1 species